GAUGAACGCUGGCGGCGUGCUUAACACAUGCAAGUCGAACGGGAAACCUUUUAAUGAAGCUUCGGCAGAUUUUGCUGGUUUCUAGUGGCGGACGGGUGAGUAACGCGUGGGUAACCUGCCUUAUACAGGGGGAUAACAGUCAGAAAUGACUGCUAAUACCGCAUAAGCGCACAGGACCGCAUGGUCCGGUGUGAAAAACUCCGGUGGUGUAAGAUGGACCCGCGUUGGAUUAGCUUGUUGGUGGGGUAACGGCUCACCAAGGCGACGAUCCAUAGCCGGCCUGAGAGGGUGAACGGCCACAUUGGGACUGAGACACGGCCCAGACUCCUACGGGAAGCAGCAGUGGGGAAUAUUGCACAAUGGGGGAAACCCUGAUGCAGCGACGCCGCGUGAAGGAAGAAGUAUCUCGGUAUGUAAACUUCUAUCAGCAGGGAAGAUAGUGACGGUACCUGACUAAGAAGCCCCGGCUAACUACGUG
rnacentral:rRNA from 1 species